rnacentral:siRNA from 1 species
GGAUAGUAAUGGAGAUGUUGAC